CACUAUACAUUCCAUGACUUCCGGGCACUUCGUAAGGCUUAAAUAAGGAUGCUUUGCGUUCACUCGGCCUUUUGGAGACAAGAUUCGCGGUCGUCUCUUCGGCUUGGAUUUGUUAAGGAUUCCAAGUAACUCUUACUUGGAAAGAAGACAGUCUGCAGUUCACACUUCAGCAUUGAUGUUUAAUUUUGGGGUCCUUUAUAUAGUAGGGAGAGUAGGUAAACCGAUUUUUUUUUUAACAGGGAGGUUUGGACAGUCUUUGGCAGACUUAGCAAAAGAUUGGGGUGCGUUUCAUACCUCUUUGAGACAGUCUUCCUCUGUCGCCCAGGCUGGAAUGCAGUGCCGCAAUCUUGGCUGCAACCUCAGCCUCCCAAGUAGUUGGGAUUGCAGGCGUAAGCCGCCACACCUGGCCCUCUUUUAAGAGUCUGCUGCUGUUUUGUAUUAAAGACUGGAAUUUGGCAUUUGGUUAGGAAUGCACCUUCUUUCACCUCAUUCAUACCUUAAGAACCAGAGAAGUGACUCUGCUUGGCCUUACGCCAGAUUCCAGAAGGCACACAGUGUUGGUGGGUAUUUUAAAAGUCCUUGAGUAUUUUGCUUUUGUGUGAUUUCUAAUGUAUUUGUAAUUUACCUAACAAAUUGCUUAAUCUGCUUUGUUAAUGUAUUAAAAUAAAUAUGGCUGUACA